UGUAGCUCAGUGGCAGAGCGCUUGCCUAGCAUGCAUGAGGCACUGAGUUCAAUCCUUAGCA
rnacentral:tRNA from 1 species